AACCCUUGUGGUUUUGAUGAACUGAUGAACAAACACAUAAAGACAGGUAAAGAGUAAAGCAAAAUCCAAUUUUGCAACCAAAACUCAUGGUUCAGCAUGAGUUUUUAAACAGAUAAGGAGGAAUAUG